rnacentral:rRNA from 1 species
AGAGUUUGAUCCUGGCUCAGAACGAACGCUGGCGGCAGGCUUAACACAUGCAAGUCGAACGAGAUCUUCGGAUCUAGUGGCGGACGGGUGAGUAACGCGUGGGAACAUGCCCUUCACUACGGAAUAGUCCCGGGAAACUGGGUUUAAUACCGUAUACGCCCUUCGGGGGAAAGAAUUUCGGUGAAGGAUUGGCCCGCGUUAGAUUAGGUAGUUGGUGGGGUAAUGGCCUACCAAGCCUACGAUCUAUAGCUGGUUUUAGAGGAUGAUCAGCCACACUGGGACUGAGACACGGCCCAGACUCCUACGGGAGGCAGCAGUGGGGAAUCUUAGACAAUGGGCGAAAGCCUGAUCUAGCCAUGCCGCGUGAGUGACGAAGGCCCUAGGGUCGUAAAGCUCUUUCGCCAGGGAUGAUAAUGACAGUACCUGGUAAAGAAACCCCGGCUAACUCCGUGCCAGCAGCCGCGGUAAUACGGAGGGGGUUAGCGUUGUUCGGAAUUACUGGGCGUAAAGCGCGCGUAGGCGGAUUGGAAAGUUGGGGGUGAAAUCCCAGGGCUCAACCCUGGAACUGCCUCCAAAACUACUAGUCUAGAGUUCGAGAGAGGUGAGUGGAACUCCGAGUGUAGAGGUGAAAUUCGUAGAUAUUCGGAAGAACACCAGUGGCGAAGGCGGCUCACUGGCUCGAUACUGACGCUGAGGUGCGAAGUGUGGGGAGCAACAGGAUUAAAUACCCUGGUAUCCCCCCGUAACAUGAUGCCAUCGUCGGAUAG